GACGAACGCUGGCGGCGCGCCUAACACAUGCAAGUCGAACGGAGCUUAGAGAGCUUGCUUUUUAAGCUUAGUGGCGAACGGGUGAGUAACGCGUGAGUAACCUGCCCUAGAGUGGGGGACAACAGUUGGAAACGACUGCUAAUACCGCAUAAGCCCACGGUAUCGCAUGGUACUGAGGGAAAAGGAUUUAUUCGCUUUAGGAUGGACUCGCGUCCAAUUAGCUAGUUGGUGAGGUAACGGCCCACCAAGGCGACGAUUGGUAGCCGGACUGAGAGGUUGAACGGCCACAUUGGGACUGAGACACGGCCCAGACUCCUACGGGAGGCAGCAGUGGGGGAUAUUGCACAAUGGGGGAAACCCUGAUGCAGCGACGCCGCGUGGAGGAAGAAGGUUUUCGGAUUGUAAACUCCUGUCGUUAGGGACGAUAAUGACGGUACCUAACAAGAAAGCACCGGCUAACUACGUGCCAGCAGCCGCGGUAAAACGUAGGGUGCAAGCGUUGUCCGGAAUUACUGGGUGUAAAGGGAGCGCAGGCGGGAAGACAAGUUGGAAGUGAAAACCAUGGGCUCAACCCAUGAAUUGCUUUCAAAACUGUUUUUCUUGAGUAGUGCAGAGGUAGAUGGAAUUCCCGGUGUAGCGGUGGAAUGCGUAGAUAUCGGGAGGAACACCAGUGGCGAAGGCGGUCUACUGGGCACCAACUGACGCUGAGGCUCGAAAGCAUGGGUAGCAAAAAGGAUUAGAUCCCCUGGUAGUCCAUGCCGUAA
rnacentral:rRNA from 1 species